AGUCCCUAGAUAUAUAAAGUACCGCAAUUACCGCCAUAUUGGCGCCAAAACUAGCGGCAAAUUUAAAAAGGAGGCCAACAUUUCGCUGUUUCGGCUUUUUAAGCAGCUGGUCGGUCCGGCGCCAAUAUGGCCGACCAACAUUGACAGGCAAGCCGUAAAAUAAAAUAUUUAUUAAUUGUAAUAGAAUUACGUUUAUUAUCUACAGUUUACCUUCAUUUUAAUGCCUAUAUAUGUUAAGAGGUUAUAAACGAAUGGUUUCCGUACAAGUGUUUUUCAUUUGUAUUAGCAUUUAUGUUAUGUUACCUUUUAGCGCAAAGUACGCCAACAGAAUACUUAAUUCAGUCGAAACAAUUGGAAAAACUUUGUUUGUUGAUGAGAACGGGAUACCUAUACCAUAAGUAAACUUUCCCUAUUAUACCAGUUAUGCUGUAGUUAGUUUUGACAAAUAAGCAUGAUUUAACGAAAGCCUUUGGAACUAUGAAUAAGCUACAAACUUAUAUUUGAAUGCCGGCUUUUAUACGAGAAAAUUUUGAACCAUGGUUGAAACAAAUAAAUGUAAUAAUUAAAUUGAUAUGAUACAUACCUGCUAUUUUUGAAAUAUAUUAAUAUAUUGAUAGAAAGAUUGUUUCAAUUAGU